ACGAAGGUGGCAAGCGUUGUUCGGAUUUACUGGGCGUACAGGGAGCGUAGGCGGUUGGAUAAGCCCUCCGUGAAAUCUCCAGGCUUAACCUGGAAAGUGCAGAGGGGACUGUUCAGCUAGAGGAUGGGAGAGGGAAGUGGAAUUUCCGGUGUAGCGGUGAAAUGCGUAGAUAUCGGAAGGAACAUCAGUGGCGAAAGCGACUUCCUGGACCAAUACUGACGCUCAUGUGCGAAAGCGUGGGGAGCAAACAGGA
rnacentral:rRNA from 1 species